rnacentral:rRNA from 1 species
GACGAACGCUGGCGGCGUGCUUAACACAUGCAAGUCGAGCGGUAAGGCCCUUUCGGGGGUACACGAGCGGCGAACGGGUGAGUAACACGUGGGUGACCUGCCCUCAGCUCUGGGAUAAGCCUGGGAAACUGGGUCUAAUACUGGAUAUGACUCCACGGUGCAUGUCGUGGGGUGGAAAGCCUUGUGCGGCUGAGGAUGGGCCCGCGGCCUAUCAGCUUGUUGGUGGGGUGANGGCCUACCAAGGCGACGACGGGUAGCCGGCCUGAGAGGGCGACCGGCCACACUGGGACUGAGACACGGCCCAGACUCCUACGGGAGGCAGCAGUGGGGAAUAUUGCACAAUGGGCGAAAGCCUGAUGCAGCGACGCCGCGUGAGGGAUGACGGCCU